GGGGUUGUGGCUCAGUGGUAGAGCACUCACCUAUUACAUGUCAGGACCUGGGUUCAAUCCUCAGCACCA
rnacentral:tRNA from 1 species